AGAUGUGUGGAGAGUACAGAAGGUGUGGCCUCAGAUUUCUGCAUGCAUAUUUAACUAUCAAUAAUUACAUGGCCUUCAGGUUAUUAUUAAAGAACAAUCUCCCGUAGAGGAGGACUUACAAGGCUAAAUGAGGCCUAAAACAUUUCUUUGAGUACAGAGCAGAGAAGAAGAGCAGGAAAAGCCCAGGUUACUCACGGUUCUUUUCACCUCUCCACCUUGACCCCGCUCUCAUUCUAGGCGAGAUGUCCACAGCAGCAGUGACUCCUACCAGCCACAGCAGCAGCAGCAGUGACAGCACAGCCAUACCAGGGAUACUUCUCUCCUUGAGACAUGAUGAAAGCUUCAGCCUCUCACUCUGGAAGUCUGUAAGGAACGAGGUCAGCUCUCAUGCACACAGAAGCCUUCCAUUCUUCUCACAGCCAAAGCCACUUCCUCACACAGGGAGCUCUCUGUCAGCCUCUCCUAAAGAGAGGUUGUGCUGGAAAUGGAUAGUCUGGCUUGCUCCAGAAAGUCACACACUGUGUUAUUGCUUGAGAGGGCAGGCAAAGAGGAGCCCAGCCUGCACAGCAUGGGCUCAUGAGUCGAGUCCUCCUGAAAGCCAUGCAAAGAUCAUGUCAGUAGGUUGGCUUCCUCACUCUGUUUCAGCAUCCUAACUCUGGCCUCCACAUACUGUUCCUAUCCUCCUUUUUUAAUCCCCAGUUAACCAGUCCCUAUUCAGUGCUGAGACCCCAUAUGAGGCUCACAGGAAAGGUUGGGUUGAGGAUUCUGCCAACAUCAGUGAAUAACAGAUAAUGAGAGAUCAACCUGAGAGUGGUGCUAUCUCAGCAGCCUUCUGAAUAAAUCUCAGGAGAUAAAAAUAAAAAACACAUCAUACCUUGUCUGCUGACCUUGCUGUACAUUUCAGCUCAAAAUGCUAGAAACUGGAGCCAGUCUACCAAACAUAUUAAAAAUGUGACUUUUUCACAGAUGAAGAUAUUCAUAUUCAUAUUCAUAUUCAUUCUGCUUAUUUAAGAAAAUAAAUUGUUUUCUACACAUGCGUGUUGAGUCAGGGAUGAUGGCAGAACACAAAAUACAAUAAUUUUUUUCCUGGAUUGAGGGGCACCAGAAGCACAGGGAAUUUCGGCAUUUUGGCAGAUGGGCAGAAAAGAGGAAAUAAGACAAAAUGUACAAACUCUGGUACCAAAGCCUGGGUGCAUUUUUUCUGCAUCUGCCAACAUUAUUCCAACCUAAACUGAGAGCGUUAUACUAUCUUUACACAAGUGUGUGAAGGCAUUUCCUUUGCAGUGCUUUCCUACUGAUCAUAACAUGUAUGAAGGUCAGUGCCUCAUAGCCCACUAUAAAGAAAUCCCAGCUGACAGAUGACUUCAGCAGGGAAUGGCAUUGGUGUAAAUGAAAGGAUUGAAACAAAAAAAGAAAAAAGGACAUUCUUACAUUUUCUACUUUAGCUGGGAAAACUUAAUUCUUUAAUGCUGAUUUUUGUUAUUUUGGAGACUAAGUAACUCAUAACCAUUUUAGUAAUGACAUGGCUUGUGUCCCAAAUGGUACAAAUAAUUCACUGACCAUAGAAGAGCUACGAUAAACUGUGAGCAUCUGGACUUCUCUGCUUUGAUCAUCAUUUUCAAAGCCUCCUUGAGAAAGAUGGAUGCUCAUUCCUAUUAAGAGAACAAUGGGAGCUGGGUUGCCAUACAUCCAGAGAGAAGGCAGUAAUAUAAUUUUCAGCAGUCAAUGAAAGUUAGUGGUCUGACUUCUUUGAAAAUUUCCCCAGUGAGAUUCUUUGGGUGAAUUAGAGCUAUGGGGUAAUCCUGUAAAUUGGAACAGAAUCAAUAAGCUAAAUGAAAACAUUUACCUUAAAUUAUAAUUUAAACCCUGAGCUGUUGGAAUAAAAAAUCCCAUAUCCCUAAUAGCUGUAUGGAAAUAAAAAUGUUUCAUCACUAGCUGAUAUGUCUUAAAGAGCAUGGAGCUAAAGCUACCAACUAAAAUCUUAUAUUAACUCUACAAUCAAGUGAAAUAUAACACAAAUAUUGUUUGUUUUUUUUUCUGUGUGUUGCAAUAUACGGGUUCUCAAUACAUAGGGAACUAUGCCUGGCUUUGAUUUAUAUAUUCUACUAAAAAAUCCUUACUCAGUUGAUUUAGGGCAGCACAUGGCAUUUCAUGUUUCACACAGUAUCACUGUACGUAGAUGUGUAAAUGGAAAUCAACGACAAAGAUAUGUUUUUUUUUUUAAUGAGUACCGACAUUUUUAAUCUAGAUAAUCACACCAGUAUGAGUGUUAUGUCAUAGAAUGAUAUCAUAGUAACUAACACGUGGGAUAACUAACAUUCUUAAGUAUAUGAGCAACUUGUAAUUAAUAACUUAAAUAAUAAAGUCAAUAUUAAUUGGUAACUGCUUCCAAUAUAAGCUCUGGUUCAAGUAAUGCAUGGAGGUUUUUGUCAUCCACUUGAAGAAAUUUCUUGUGUGUCAGUACUAGGCUUCCUUUAGAUUUGGGUUCAUGUUAUCCUUUUUAUCUGUCAUUAUGGCAAUAAAAAAUGAUACGUUUAAGUGAAAGAUGUGGUUUUAACAAAAACAAUAUGGAUCUAAUAACCAAACUCUCCUUCUGAAAGAUGAAACACGGAAAAUUCAUGCCAUGAAAAAUACGAAUUUUUAAGAGACAAAGCUUUGUAGUAACAAAACUUAUUGGCAGUCUUUUUUUUUUUUUUUUUCUUCCAGAUAAGAUAGAUACGGUGUGUCUAGCAGAAAAAUAAAAUGGAAAGUCACAGUAAUAAGAGAAAAUGAGAGAGUGAUUUCCAUCAUAAGAUGAGAAGGAUGACUGUCAUCUUUUGGAGUUAUCAGUAUGAAUUCCUUUAGAUGAAAAUGAACGUACCCUGAAUGCUGUAAAACGGUUUCAGUGCCUGAUCUCAUUGCAUCCCAUAGAAAACCUGUUUUUCAUCUUAUUAUUAAGCCUAGUCUAAUGUUUUUUGAAUCAUCUGGCUUUCCAUGUUAGCUAAGUUAACACAUUUGCUUCUCACUUACAUGUGGUUUUGUUCUCUGCUACAUUUCACAGAUUUCUGCUCUGUUGACAGCUAUUCUAGGUGCACCCAGAGCUAUUUUAAAGAUGAAAGCUUUAGCACGACUUUUUCAAUAGGCCAGUAAAGACAAUAGUUUCAAAUUUAUGAGGCAAGAAAAGAAAAUAACUCUAAACUCUCUCUUCUUUGUAUUUAUGUCAGAUCUUUAAAACAGCAGCCACAGACUCACCAGAAUAAAUAAUAAAUUUGUAAGUAUUAAACGUAUAUUACUAAAAUCCAGUAUAGUUCAGAAGGGAAGGUUUUAGAAAGGAGGAGUAAAAAAUAUCCUCUAAACUCACUGGUUCUCCAAACAGCCUAUUUGCAGGACUGCAGAGUUCAUAAGGACACUGUAGUCUAAAAGCAAAUCCUGUACAUGCACACAGUAUGGCAGCCUGCCUCCACCUUGCAAAAGAAGUACCACAGUUUUAUCAAACUGAAGACUUUAUGUUAGCUAAAAUAAAGACCAGUAGUGCUAUGGAGGAGGUGAGUAUAUGCAAAGUGUGACUGUCAGCCCUGGGGACUGAUGUGUACCCAUGCUGUGGACAUCCCCUUCCAAGAUCUACCAUUAGCUCUGCUAUGCAGUCAGCUUUUAUGAAUUAAUUCAAUUUAAAUAAAUAAAUUAGGCAACCCUACAAGAAGUCUGCAGAAAUCUAAAGAAGCAUUUGGUUCACAAACCUCAGGGCAGGUUUUGAUCCCACAUAAGCCCUUAUAACAUCUGGAAACAAGGAAGGAGGAGAGAGCACCCUCCCAAAACGGCACCGAGCUCUUCCCUUUGAUAAUCCAUGCUUACACUCCCUUCUCUUUUGUAAUCUUCUUCCUCAAUUUCUACUCCACCUCUUCAUCCCUUUCGUAACUUCUGUUGUUCCCAUUCAGUUUAUUUAAAAUUCACUCAUUAAACAUGAUGUUGAUGAAGCUAAAUAUUUACACAGUCUUUUCUCAGAUUUUGUCAUCAAUUGAAUUAAUACAUAUCUUCCCUUCAAUCUAACUUUCUAGAGAUUCCUUAACAAUUUUCUCUUAUUUUAAUAUGAUCGAUGCAACACAACUCUCUAUUUGGAGCAGUUCAAGUCUUUUUCAUGGCUAUAUAUAUACCUCCUCACACAUAUAUAUGUGCACGUGUAAUAUUUAUUACAAUAUGUAUUUACUAUUUGUUUAUAGUAAAGGAACAGAUGGAGACUAAAAUUAAGAGAACACUUAACAUCUUGUUUUGUAAGGUAGCAGCUUCUCCUUUAACUAGCUGCUACACUUUGUAAUGUGCAUUGUAAGGCCACCUGUGGAUCCAUUACCAUUUAUCCAUAAUUUAAGCUAUUAGCCUUAGCACUACAUGACAUAAUUUGUUGCUUACAACAUAUGUUGGCAGUUUCACUCUGUGAGGUCCAUUUUCUGACUCCGAAGUGUUGGCAUACAGCAAAAUUGUGCAGUGUAUACACAGAAGUCCCUAGAGUAAACUUAAAUUUGUAACUCACAUUCCUGCUCAGUUUGUUUAGAAUUUGGUACAUUCUGAAUUUAUGAUUCUGAGAUGUAACGUGGCUUACUGUCUUUGUUACAUAAUGACAUGUGCAUCAGAAAUUAGGAACUGUAACUUGCCAUGCCAUAGUUUAGAAAAUGAUACUUCACCUGACAGGUGAAGUAAAAAAGAAAAAGCACAAACAUUCCCCAAAUUUACAGGAGCUUUAGCCAAAAGACAGCCUAGUCAGAGCUUAAUAGAGUAAUGAAACAGUCUAUUAAAUUUGCAGCUAAGACUUAUUGUAUUGGCUUUUUAAAAUUAACCCCAAAGAAAGUGGGCAGAGCAAUUGCUUUUAAAAACUGUUCUUGUUGUUGUUUUUUUUUUUUUAACUUCUUAAUGUUUAAAGAAAUUAAGACCACACGUGUCACUAUAUUAAACAUUCUUGAAACAAAUAAUACUAAUUAUUGGCAUCAAUAUAGCCAGAUGGAUUUUAAACAAUUUUAACAUAAACAAUAAAACUCAUUUUCAUUGGUACUGGAUUUAAAUAAUCAGUUCUAAAACCAUUUGGGACCAAAUAUGUACCCAACUGAAAUACAGGCUACAAGAAGUGACUGUAGAUAUUAUGAAGAUCGUUAUUUGUAUUUACAGUGAAAUAUUUUUUCACAUCAAAAUGUUGAGAUGUGAAUGGUUUGGGGUGUAUUCUGGGGUGCCCCAUCCCUGGAGGUGCUUAAGGCCAGGUUUUAUGGGGCCAUAGGCAGCCUGAGCUGGUGGGGGGUAGCCAUGCCCACGGCAGAGGUUGGGGCUGGGUGGGCUGUAAGGUGUCUCUGGAUAAAAUUUGUUACAAAACAGAAGCAUACAUGCUUUUGAAUGUGAACCACCAUAAGUCCAUUAAUAAUUACUGGGUCUUGAAUUAACUUGUGAAGUUCUGCAAAAGAAUUUUACAACUGUAUGCCUUAUUUCCUUCUUACUGGCAAUCCACAGCUCAUUGUAUUGCAAGCAUAGAAGUCUAAAUUAAGUAUAGCCAAAGAUAUGAUUUAUCAAACAGGAACAUAUGCACAUGGUAAUAGUCAAUCUUUUCCAGUAAUAGAUAGAUAGAUAGAUAGAUAGAUAGAUAGAUAGAUAGAUAGAUAGAUAGAUAGAUAAAUUCACCAUUCUUUUAAGGGACAGGUAAUGUUUUUUUUAGAUUUUCUAGAGUGAGUAUGAAUAGCACUGAGUACUUAAUAUUUAGUUCCAUAUUUCUGUCCCAGCAGAUGGUUCCUUCAAAAUCACCCUCCCAGUUUUCCCUCUCAAAAUAGUUCUCUAUGCAAAAUUUCUGCUGCUAGCAGCAGAGCAAGAUUUUCUUGUGUUCUUAAAGUAUUUCUCCACUCCUCAUGAAAACAAACACACAAGAAGAUACUAGUACUUCAAACACGGAGAAGGGAAUGGUAAGGAAGGUCAUAAUCAUAAUCAUAAUCAUAAUCAUAAGGCAGAAUUUUAAAACUAAAGUAAUAAGAAUGAUAAAUGAAACAUGAAUUGUAGCGUUAAAACUAAAAUUAAAAAUCAAAAAGGGAAGGAAAAAAAUCAAUAGAAAACAAAAGUUUGCAUAUGGUUUGAGAGCCAAGAAACUUAAAAUGUUAUGAUAGAAUCACAAUGACUUUCUAGCCAAGUUUCCCAUAUAAAAAAGUAAUCUUCACUCCAGUGAGACCAUUUGCAUUGUGCUUGCUACUGAUGCCAGAAAACCUCUUUUUAAUUUGCAAAAAUGUUAAAAAAAACAUAAAAGCUAAAAUCACUAGAGAUUUUCUUUUCUUUUUAGGAGUGAAAUAACUGAAGAUUCCUCUGCUCAAGAACUUUGUUACUGUGCAUUUAGUUUGCCUGAAAUCCAUAAAGUAAAACUUAUGGUUUAGCACUCCUGUUAUAGGAAUUCUUUUAAAUAAAAUUCUAUUAGACGUAGUACAUCAAAACAUGAUCCUGAAAUAGUCUAUGUGGCUAUAAUUAUAAUAGUCUAUAAAACUGAAAUAUUUUAUAAUAAUGUAUGUAACGCAUACAGUUUGUUUACUAAGAAACUUUAACAAGCAAUAUUAUUUAUGCAGAACUAUAACAUAGUGGAUUUGUCACAUAUGUAGACAAAUAAGCCUGGUUACAUACUUGCAUAUGUAUGUGCAUGUAUAUACAUAAGUCAUGAGGUAGACAGGAGCAAGACUGUUAUUUACUAUAAUACUAUAAUAUUACUAUAGUAUAUAUAGUGUAUAUAUAUAAUACUAUACUAUUACUAUAAAUUUACUAACAAUCUUUACAAUUUUCAACAUAAGUCUAGUAAAGCUUUUCAUUAUUAAAACUGUGUUUUCAUUCUUCAUUUUGUUCAGAAGAACAUGUAUAUAAUAUACUUGCUUUGUUCUUCAAAAAACUGAAUGUGUUACGCUGUGAAUUUGUUUUUAUUUCAGCUUUUGCAGUCUCAGCUUAACUAAGGUAAUGACCAGUCGGCAUUUAUCACAUUUGCAAAGUUUUAAUAUUUCUUUUUUUUUUAAAUUUAUUUUUUUUUUAUUUUUUAAUCAGUAUAAAAAUACUAGGUACUUAUGCUCAGUGUAUAUCAGACAGGGUACAUUAUUGUGACUAACAUUAAUUCCAGUGUAUGCCCUAAAACAAAUCUCUUCAGCAUUAAUUUUAUUAGACUAUCAUAUAUGCUGAAUAGUAUUGUUUUUAAUUAAUUCUAUUCAGUUUAACUCCAGACACACAGGGGAGUUUGGGUCAUCCACCUUUUUCUGAAGAAUAGGAAUAGAGCAACAAGUCUUCAGUUAGCCAUGGCGGCUGCUCUUAGCCCCAUAAACACAAAAAUAAAACCAGAUGUCAGAGAUCUGCACAAGAGAUUUGAAGAUAUCUUAUGGCUCUCAGGCACAUAAUAAAACUCUAAUGAAAUUUUUAGAUGAGGUAGUAGGAUUUAAAUAUCAUAAAAUCCUCACAUGACAUAUUUUAAGAUUUUUCUACCUCAUACAAUGUCAAAACGACUAUUAAUACUAUUUAAAGGGUGUUUUUUUUCCUCACUCUCUCUCUAAAUUAAGGAAAUUGGAUUUAUAAACUCAUAAUAAAACCUAAUUUUCAAAAAGAACAAUGCAAGCUAAGAUAUGUCAAAUUUACAACACCAUAGAACCACAUUCAAGAUAUUUUUCUGCUGAAUGAAAUCUUGUUUAUCUUCAACUCUCCUUCUCAUGUUUAAAAAACAUUAGACAUAUUUUGAUGUAAAGCUGUGAAGAAUGUCAACUAAUAGCGUAGCUCAGAGACACAAAAAUAGCCUUACAGAAUACUACACCCUUAGAGGUGAUGUAGUCAUGUGGAGAAUGAUGGAAAUCUUUAUAUUGGUUUACACAAAUUUUAGUAAAACACCAUGACAAAAAGAGUUGUCUGUCUCAAAAAGACCUUUUAAUCUGAUGACUAGGGAAAGAAGCAAAGAACAGCUCUGCUCUGAAAUUUUAAAUUCUAGAAAAUAAGCAUGCAAUAAAAAUUCCAAGUCCUGUUGAAGUGUUAAUAUCAUAUAUAUAUAUAUAUAUAUAUAUAUAUAUAUAAUGCUAUUAAAAUCCUACGGUACAAAAUUUCUUCCUUUAAGGAAGAAACUUGCCUCCAUAAACGAUGUAUAAGGGUGAGAAUGUAAUCGCUACCCAAUUUAGAAAGAUACAAUAAAGAAUCCCAAGAAUGUGAAACUUGUGUGGUGAAGUUUAUAGUGUAAUGUUGAACAAUUUUGUGGGUUGAAAUUAAUUCAUUCCCUUUAUUCUUUAAUCAGAUAGAUUCAAGAUUACAAAAAAGAUUACAGCAGUUUACUAGAAGUGGUUUUCUAGAUUAUUGAAGUAGUUUUCUCUUAUUUUAAAUCAGACAAUCCUAAAACGAUUUCUUUCUCAUUAUUAUGAAAAACCCUAAGGAAAUAAUAUGCAAUUUUAAAAAUAUUUUUUAGACAUAUUACACUGGAUCAUUGUUUUGAAAUUUUUUAUGUAUUAUGUAUUUAACCUCUAAUUAAAAGUAAUUUACAAUAAUGCACGUAGCGUCUUCAGCUUUGUUAACCAAGAAAGUUUUUGAAGAAAUCUUAAACUUCAGUCUGUUUUACUAUUUUUUCUAAACUAUUUUUUUUUCCAGCAGAAACCUCGUCCAUGGUUCUCAUUACUGAUACUCAAACUAAUUUAAUACAGGAGAAUGUAUUAUAGUGCUCGUUGUUCCUAAAGCAAAUACUAAUUCUAAUUUAGUGGGUUUUUCAAUGAAUAAUACACUACCAAAGCACAUUCCUAUUCCCAUACCAAACAUUGCCUUUGAAGUUUAAGUUCUCUUGCAUUAAGUAUUGUAUUAUAAACAAAAUUUAAACCUUGUAUAUGAUGCUUUUAAGAUGUGAGACCUAAGAUUUUUUCUCACAGAAAAGCUAGCAGAUAAAUAAAAAUGCCCCUCACCAGCAUUUUUCACUGUAUGUUCCAGGGCACAUAGUUAAGAAUAUUUCUCUAAAAACAAAACAUGGAAUAAACAUAAACGUCUGCCUACAGAUAGGCCUUGGUAGGUUAUGAACAAAAGCCUCAAGUGGAUUGCUAUAGUCAGUUCUGAAUUAAUCUCAAACCUCACAAAAUAUCUAAUGAAUAACAGACAAUGCCCAAAAAAAUGAAAUAAAAAUCUUGGAAAUGUCCUAUAGAUAUAAUUGUCUUAAAGAAGAAAACGGUUUUUCAAUAUAACUUACAUAGUACAGUGGAUAAAAUGGUAAAGAAGACAAUAAACUGGUAGAAGCAUAGUUGAUAAGAUGAUCUCUCUCAAAUUAUCACAUACCAUUCAGUCAAGACAAAUGAGGUUUUGACCUGAUAUAUCACAGAAGUCAAAGAUGUCAAAAUUGCACUUUAUAAGAAUUCAUUAUGAAAUGUAACUAGUGCCGAAAUUAACCUUUGUGCUCUACAGAAAUUACAUUACAACAUAUAGCUCAGGGAUACAAUGAACUAGUUAAUAUCUGUCCAUGGAAAGCAGAAGUGUAUUUUUGGAGUCAUUAGUCAGACGUGGACAAGAAGAAGUCCAGGAAUUGUAUUUAUGAGUAAAGAUGGGUUACCACAAGGAAGCUUAUCAGUUUAUUUGCCAUAGUCUUCAUCCAUCUCUUCUCCCUGAUGCCUAAGAAAGUGAAUCAGAUUAUAGAUGUCACAGUCUAUAGUGUUUUAAUACAAGAGUUCUGUGAGUAGUUCAAUAGCUGCUUAACAUGUGGCUUUUUCAGCUUCACAGAUGAGAGUAGCAACUCUCCACUACAUGAUAGUAUGCAUUUUGUUUGUAGAUCACCUUGGCUAGUUAACUUCAGCCAGCUACUGCCACUGGCCAAAUUCAGCUCUGAACUACUGUUCCCACACUCACACACACUCAGGUCAGGGAUCAGGAAUCUUUCUUAACACCUUAGAAGGUAGUCUCAUUCUUCUGGGCUGAAUACUUCAAGCCUGGGAAGGAUCAGCACCAGAUAUCCCACACUUCAUCCUUCUUAAGUUGCCGUGCAAGUUUUGGGCCAAAGAAAACAAAUUACAGAAGAAAAUGAAAAUUUAUGUUUGGUUUCUGAGCAUGCUGCACAGAAAGACCUGGACAUUUAAUGUAGUUAUGUGCCAUGGAUGUCCUCCCUCCUUCUUCUAUUCAUCCUGACAGGUAGGGUAGAAAUUCCUGAUAAUUAAGAACCCAGGUCUCCAUCAGUGAGUUAUUCUGUUCCAGCUACAUAGCACAGCAAAAACAAACAAACAAACAAACAAAAAAAAAACAAUUGUGAAAGGUCCUGGUGUGAGCAGGGAAACAAAUUGAAACUGAAAAUUCUUCUAAUGUCCACAUCCAUAGCUUUGUAAGUGUGAAACCUAAACUCAAUUUCAUAUUUACCCAAGGAGAAGGCAACUUGCAAGCAAGCAAAACUAUAAUAAACACACCAGAAAGCUACUGCCUGUCAGUAUAAUCUACUAAGAAUACAGUUCCUAAGCUCCAUCCUUCUAGGUAUGUGGGAAAAAGAAGUCAUUACUGCAGUGCAAAGAGACGAUAUUCUUCUUUAAGGUCAGAGGAGCAACUUGCAUUUGCUGUAAAAUAGACUCCUUAAAGCACAGUAUGAUCAAAGGGACAAUCCUGAACAAAGCCACAGCACAACUGUCUGGUUUACUAACGUCACAUAUGCUGAAGUGAAUCUGAUAUUACAGGAAUACAGUAUUUGAAAGCACAAUACCUACUAAUUUUUGUAUGUAAAAUACCUUGUAAUAAAUAUUGAAAUGUCAUUGUUCUUACUGCGAUAUGUACUACAGAAAGUGUAAAGUUUGAUUACAGAGAGCCUGCCCAGGCACACAGUCCUGCAUAUACUUUGCACAGCACAUUAAAAAUGGAAUUCUACAGCAGCUGACAAGGCCAGGAAAUGAGGAGAGGGAGAGCAAGAGAAACAGGAACGGGGGGAAAAGAGAAAAUAGUCAGGGAAAUGUAGACCCCCAGACACACAGCGUCUAUUUAUUCAAUCCGCCUGUUGGCUGUCAGGCUACUUCAAGCUCACUGGAAUAUGUUCCAGUGCUGAUAAAAAAUGUGUCACGCAGGGGUGGAGGAAAAAUAGAAAUGUAUGUUGGAAUUUGUGGUCAGAAUCCAUAAUUCCUAUUCAGCAAUGCCUAGUGAAAGAAAAAAAGAGCAAGCAAGCAACAGUAAAUAAUGACUUGACCCUCAGAUUUUUUUUAUUGUUGCUGAGAUUUUUUGAGAGAUUGGUAGACAUGAACUUCCACUUAAUAUUUCUUGCCUCUCUUCUUCUCUAUGUCUGCAUAUGUGUGCAUGUGCAUAUCAGAUUUUGGCUCAUGAUUUUUCCCAUUUUAAGUUGUUAGUUUUGUGUAAACUGUAAGUGUUAUAAGUUAUUUUGAAAAUGUUCUUUUUCUUUGCUUUAAGAAUUGCAUGCAUGCACAAUUUUUUUUUUUUUUUUUUUUUUGUAGCUCAAUGUCAAGAUUCCUGAUGUCUCUUCAUAUAUUUACUAUUUUUACUUGGUGUUGAUUUUGUACUUUGGAUGAAUAUGUAAAUACUGGAAAGAAAACUGAAAAAAAAUCAGGAGUGCUUAACAGACACUUUUUGGAAGAAGUCUUCAAAGCAACAUGUGUUUUCACCAGUGUAGAUUACAUUUACAGUUUUUGAAACAGUCUCUGGGAGGAAAAAGAUAUCUAAAGGAGCUCUAGAAAUUAAUAACUCAGCAUUCUGGAAAAAAACAAAUUUUACAUACUUGUAAUUUAGGAAUAGAAUCACAUAAUCAUAGAAUGGUUUGAGUUAGAAGGGACCAUUUAAGACCAUCUAAUUCCAACCAUAGGCACUUAGAAAUCUGCAGUGUGUUUUUAUGUAAUUUAAUUUUAUUUCUUAGUUCAUAAUUCAAAUAUCUGCCCCAAGCUAGUGUUUCCAAAGGUAUUUCCCUGUAAUGGAAGCUGUAAACUUUAUGGCAUAAGGAAUUCUAUGCUUGUUUGGUUGGUUUUUAUUUUCUUAAUGGUAACUAAUACCUUUCUACAGAUACUAGUCAUUUCUUCUGGGUGAGCCUGAUUUUUACUGGGCUUGCUAGAUAACACAGGGAAUGGACUGAAGAAUAGAGGAAUCAAGUAAACAUAUUGCGAACAGUGAUACUUUAGGAAAAACAGAAGUGAAAUUUGGGUGUAAACAUUGGUGGAGACAAAAGUGUUUGCAGCAAAUAAAGAAAAUAAUUGGAAACAGCAAGUUUUACAACCUGCCUUGGCAGUGGCUACUAGAGGAUCCCAAACCCACUGCAUGACAAGAUCAAAGGCAUCAUGAGUGCUGACAAAGCCCACCGUGUAACAUUGUAAUACUAUUCUUCAAAAGAAUAGACAGUGACUACAGUCUUUUUAGUCCUCCAACAGAAAGCAGGAUGAUUAGAAAGACAAAAAUGUAUAACAUCAAAAUCACAUAACAUACAACCAUAAAAUUAAGGCACAGUGCAUGGCACAGAUGCUCUUGCAAAUGUCCUUAAGAACUCUAGGUGCUAGUGACAGUGAGUUUAAACAGAUCUGGUAAAUUUUGGUCAGUUUAGCUAGAGCAUCUAAAAAGUAGGAUUUUCGAAGACACUCCAUGUGAAGUUAGCUGAUCUUGCCAAAAACAACAGGAGUUUUUGUUGCUGCUUACAGUAGAAAACAGAGUUGUGUUAUGGUUUGCUUUUGAACAUAGCUCUACUAAUCACUGUCUCUGGCUGAAACUACAAAAAUUUUCUGCAGUAUAAAACAUAUUACACAGGUAGUAAUUUAUUUGAUACUUAACUGUAUGAUUGCUAGAAACCCAAUUUUAGACAAGGUGUCAUCCUGAAGGUUUCUGUAAUCAAGGUACAUGUGAACACCUUCAGUGUUCUGGGAUUACAUCGGAUUUCAAGCCUGGAGUAUGCUACGUCAGUGCUCUUAGCAGAUCUCUGCAGUACAAGAGAACACACUGGCAGAAUUCAAGGUGCUGGUUUUAAAUAGAAAGAGAUCUACAUGAUGUAAGCAUAUGCUUAACUGACAAAAUGACUUCCUCUAUGUGACAGAUAUCUUCAGCUAUGUCCUCAGAAACUCAGGGGAUCUGCUGAUCUUCAUUCACUGAGUAGAACUGUACAUCAGAAACUAAACAUGCAUGGCAUGGCUUCUUGAUCAUGCCUGUAUCAUUAAUUCCCAAGGUAAGGAGGCAAUGGGCCACUGACAUUCAAAAAGAUUAAUGCAGAGUUUUCAUUAAUAUUAGUGUAAUUAUGGUUGGUUUUUUUUUUUUUUUCCCUGUUAAUUAUUUUGCACUUGUGGUUUCCAAGUUACAAUGGUCAUACAAAUAGUUGUUAUAAACAUUCUCCUUGUUACUUCUACCACUGCAACACCGAAAUCAUAGAAUUACAGAAUGGUUUGGGUUGGAAAGGACCUUUAAGAUUACCUAGUUUCAACCCCCCGCUAUAGGCAGGGACAUCUCUGUCUAGACGAGAUUGCCCAAAGCCCCAUCCAGACUGGCCUUCAAUGCUUCCAGGGAGAGAGCAUUCACAACCUUGCUGGGCAACCUGUUCCAGUGUCUCACCACCCUCACAGUUAAGAAUUUCUUCAUGAUAUCUAGUCUAGAUGUUAUUUUGGGAGGGAGUCACUUUCUACAUACACUUACUGGAGAACUCUCUGACUUGUAUUAAAUUCUCUGAGGCUGAGGGCUCAUCACUGAGUUGGGUUCAGUUUCUCACCUUAUGUGUUAACUCAUGAUCAGAAAAGGCUUUUAUCUUAAAGAGGGAAGCACUGUGCCUUACAGAGAUGUACCUUUAACAGAAAAAACAUGCCUUGAUAUUCUAUUAUUGGGUUUAAAAGUAAUUCUAAUAAAUCAGGUAACACAUAACGUUUUACCUCAAUCUUUUUAUUCACUGAGGAAAUCAGUGUAAUUAAUUGUAGAUUAGAUGACCUAGAUGCUUUGACUUUUCUUUUGUAUCUAUUAUGAGUCUAGUUUGUCAAAAUAAAAUAAAGGUAAAGUUUCAAAGCUGAAAAGGAAGGCACACCUGCCAAAACGUCUCACUAAUUAGAAAUAAUUUUUAAAAGAGGUUAUUAAAUACAAUUUGUUCUGUAUUUCAUGUCGAUGAAUUAGACUUAAACACUUCAAGUCCUUUCUCCCUUUCUCAGUUUUUUUUUUUUUCCUCCAAUCACAGCUUCCUACAUUGUCACAACAUGGGAAUCCCAAUGAUUUCUUUUUGCAAGUGCAUACAUCUACAGGAAAAAAAAAUGACUAUUCAAUUUAUACCAUUAUUGCUCUGCUCUAUCAUUGUUUCACCACUGUCAACAUAAUGAUAGAUGGCCUGGAAUCAAACAGUGCAAUUAACAUUUCUUCAGCUUAUUUCAUUUAUGUGAAAUAAUAGAAUUUGAUUUUUCUUCUCAGGAAGUUUUGGUUUUUCAAAAUUAAGAUUUUAGAGUAUACAGAAGCUUAGCACUUCCUACAUUUCUUAUGGGGAAAAAAUUUAUUAAAUGUUUGUCAUUAAAAAGAAGCACAGAUCUCAUCAUAAUUAGUCCAUGAAGUAUCAUACUAAAUAAGAAUGCCUCCCAAAACCCAAGAUUUUAACUUACAGUUCAGAUAAUUUUUCUAAUCUUUUUACUUCUUCCCUGAUUAUUAUUUUAAAAUGCAUCCUCUUGAAGAUUUUAAGAUUUUCUCUGCAAAGUUACUCUCUACGAGAGAACUGAAAUAUCUUUUUUUAAAUGAAAAAGGAAAAAACCUUUAAAAUUCUAAUGUUAGUAUGAGCAUGGCAGCUGAUGAAAAUUUCAGGAGCAAGAAACAGAAGUGCAAGAGGUUGAAACACUGCAGAUCUUUUCUCAUCCAGAACAAAGGAGAAUGAGCAUAGCUGAGUCUGCUUGUGACAGCUACUGUUUAAAAAGGUUAAGUAACUUUUCAAAGUCAUAAAAGGAUGGCUUCGCCUUCUGAUUUUUGUUCCCUUGCUCCGUGAUAUCUCCACAGUGCUUCACACUCACAGUAAGACAGCCAUGAGCUAGUAAUGAUUGACAAUUUGCUGUAUUGUCAUCACUACAUUAGAAGCACUAAAAGAAAAAAGAGGCUAUUGACUACAAAACAGUCUGCAUAAAAUCUUAAAGAUCAGUUUUGAACACUUUUCAAGGUCAAUGAAAGGCAUUUCUUAGGAAGCAUCUUCCAGUUACAUAUCUAACCUUCUAUCUUUAGUCCUAGUGGGAAAAAGAAAUACACAAUAGCGUAUCUUUCAGGAGAAGGUAAGAUCUCCUUACAAAUCUUUAUUCAUGUGAAAAGAUAUGGGGUUUUGUUUUUAAACUUUGAGCAAUCCCACUUGGUACUACAUUUCAUAGAAUGAAAGGGUAUCUAGUAACUUCUCCAAAUGAAUUCUAAAAGUGACCUACAUUAGUCAUUGUACUUGCUGUGUUUUGGUUAGUGUACCCUAUAUUCCAUAGAAAACAAUAUGGUAUAUCACAGGAGAGAUAUUAUCUGCGACAUAGUAUACUAUUCUCAGUGUUACCUAGCUGAAAAAGAGCCAGGAAUUAAAAAAAUAAAAAAAUAAAAAAUAAAAAAUAGCUGCAGAAGCUGUCUACCACUGGGAAAAUGGGAGUUCUUUAUGAAUCGGGUACCCAGCAGUAAGGCUGACUUCUUUAUUGGCUCCAGUGAAGUGAGGCAGUCAGUACAGAGAAGGAAAGAAGUAAACAUUCUAGAAGAACUGAACAAGACAUUCAAGGAAACUAGUUUAGCACCUGGUUAAAGACCCAGCAAGGCUGACUUCAGCCUCAUUCCAGACUUGUGUUGGAACAACUGUCCUCGUUGAUUAAAUAUCCAAUAAAUGGACACUUCCCAGAGAUCAGGACGGGCUGCAGGCAUCUCUCUACUUUCCUUCCCUUAAAGGGUAGUUUACACAUUCAAGAUCUGAUAUUGCUUAUGAUCAUUUUUGUAAUUUUAUGCUUUUCCUUGUAUUACUAAAAUGGUCACUUAAAGAACACUGAAAAUCUGUUUAGAUAAAAGUACAGAAAAAAAAAGAGAGAGAAAUUCAUUACUUAAUUUUUUCCCUACAUAGGAGUAAAAUUGAAAAAAUGCUUAACAUUUUCAUCUAAUGGUUCAAUAUCUGAGGCAGAGUUCAGAAAACUACUUAUAUCACAGCUUCCUACACAAUUUAAUUAAUGAGUAAAGUAAUGCAUAAUCCAAUAGGGUUUCAUUUGUAAUUUAUCAUCAAUUAUUGUCCCUCAUUGUAGUGUUAAAUAAUACCAACCUCAUUUGAUGUGUGAAAUGAGUCCCAUUGAUUCCUUUGUCUUUGUAAUUGAAAGGGACAGUCUCAUCAGUUUCAUUAUAGGUUAUUUGUCCUCUAACACAUCAAAGAAGAUUUAUAGCUUAAAUAUUAAAAAAAAAAAAAAAAAAAAUCCAUUACAAAACACAAAUAAGCCAAAAGGUAAAAAUUUAUAAGGUCAGUGAAAUACUAAUAUUAGUUUCAGCUACCCAAGCAUCUUGGAGACAGCAUAUUAACAGCUAGUACAUGAUUUCCCUGUGAAAAUUGCAAUAAAAGAAAUGACCAUAACUUAAAAUCAAUGUUAAUGCAAAGAAAUGUGACAAUGCACAUUGAAGGCCAGGAUACAUUUCUGAUAAAUGUGCUUUCAUAACUGCUGUACCAGUAGCUAUGCCAGUCACACUUGUGUCAUUCUCUGAUUUAGGUCUUAGAGAAAGCUGGGACAGCGUUUCACCAUGCAAUCAUAUUAUUUUUGGCUUAGAAAGAAAAUGUGCUUUUAAAGCAAGCAAUCUAAGCCAUAGAUAGAAAUCAGUCCUCCCUAAUAAGUACUGGAAUCAUCAAAGAAGCUUACAAAUAUGAAGGAACACAUUUACUGGUCAGGGCAGUUAACUCUUUCUAUGCUAGAAUAGGGACUGUAGUGUGGUGUAAUACCAGGACCCAGGCAGAUGAUCAAGACCCACAGUACUUUAUAAAUAUAUGAGCAAUUAUUUAUUUUAUUAUAAGAGGAAAGGUCUACUAUUAUCUACUAUUAUCUACUUAUCUACUAUUUUUGAAUAUUUCAGUUGUGUUCUUUAAUGGUACAGUGUACUACCUUGACAAGGAAUCACUAAGCAGAAAAAAAGAGCACUCAGCUAUCUCACAGAAACCAGCCACCUGAGUAUUCAUGAAGUUCAAUAUUAUUAUUCAUGCAUGAAAGUGCUACUUGUGACAAGUGGUUAUGGAUUAGAAUUGAUUCUUCACGUUAGUCUUUCAGAAUGAACCUUUGCCUUUAUCGUGUUACGUAUUUCCCUGGUGUGAGUCCAAUUCCAUUCUUUCCAUGUAUGGAGAGAAGCAAGGCAGAACUGUAUUUGUAACAUAAUGCUACCUUGCAAAUUGAAUCUGUACUUCAGCCCAAACCCCCAGAUUAUGCAGAUAAAUCAUCUUCAAUUUGAGAAAGAUGAGAAACGAAAGCAAAGAAUAAUUAGUUAGUAUGUCACAACCAAGGAGUUUGCUGAAAUUCCACAGAUUUACUGCAACUUGCACAAGGUAGUAUAGCUCAAUAUUUGCUAGAUGCUUCCACCUGGGAGCAUAUUUCAGUUGCUACCCCAAAAAGGGGAACCUUAGCAAGGCAGUAAGUAAUUACAGUUCUUUUCCUUAUAUAGUCAGAUCUGUCUGAAAACCCGCUAUGCAAAAAUCAAUAUGUAGUUAACAUUUAUAUGACCUAAGAUUUAGCUUGAAAACUUUAUAUUUGAAUACCAUUUCCAUCUUGCUCAUGCUUUAUUUUCUCCAUAAACAUGUCAAGCAUUUGCUUCUGUAAGUAUUGGGCCUCUUUUCCUUAAACACUAUGCCAUCUGUAGGAUGGAAUUUUUUUGCGUUUCACAAAGUAGGGAAUUUUAUACAUAAAACAUACCUAAGAUUGAUUUUCUUAUGAAGUAACAACUGAGUUUCGGUCACAGAAUGCAGCAAAAUUAAACAGUAGCAAGUGAGCCUUAACUUACAGUAAUAACAAACAUUUGCUUAUUUCCACAAUUUUACAAAAGUAAAGAAACAAGAGAAAGGAAGCAUUGCAAAGCAAAGCUUUUACUAGCCCUUGAAUUUUGAAGGAAAAAAAGACAAGCAAUCUCUUAUACAAAUACACAUGCACAGCUGUAUCUUAGGUUUCCCUGCUCUCUCUGAAUACUGAGUCAAGAGAACAGGAUUUUUAACAGAAUGGAAAGGUCUUACACUACGUGAGGGAGAAUUUUGAAUGGAAGAGUUGGUAUGAAAUCUGAGCAGCCCUGCCAUCAGCCAGGUUUCCCUGGGGUAAUCCUGAUGGAACACCACCAGUCACUACAAUUGCACUCAGAGUAGUGAGCAAAGAGGAAAUCUCAGGUAAAGGUCUUUAGGCUUUCACACAAAACAACUGUCAUAAUUUCCACCUGGGAGAUGAUAAUAUGUUUAACAGAAAGUUCUCUCCAAGAUUCAGAAUGUAACACAUGAACCAAGCUGCAUGCACAACAAUAGUGUGAGAAGAAAGAGAAAAGCCACAGAAGAUGAUGAUUGAGGUCAUUUAAAGAAACAGUAAAUAAUGGCAAAAGAAAUGAGAUAAUAGGAACAAAGGAAACAAAGUGAGGGGUCUCUAUGGAUGAGAUUUCCACUACUGCCAAAAUAAACACACAUUGCUAUGUUAAUUGGUUUAGAAUUGUCUGUAUACUCCCUUUAUUAAUAAUAGAUAUUUUGUUUUCCUGCUCAUUUUGCUACUAUCAGAAAAUACUAGGCCUCUGCAAAAGUUGCCUACAUAUAAAAUGAAAACCUGAAUUUACAUUAUACUACAUUUUCCCUUACUAAUUUCACUUGUGAACAAAAUAUGUAGCUCACUCUGAAAGUAAUGCCUUCUAUCUAUUUCCCUGGAAACUACAACAGAUACAAAGAGCACAGUAACAUUGUUUGGAUAGAGCAAAAUCUCCACUACAGAACACUAGUUUUCAGUAUAAUCACUGCUGUGAACUAUGCAUGUUUCCCAUCAAUGAACAGGAGCCUGCAUGCCAUGCUCAUCAAAAUCUGCACAAACAGAGGUGACCCAGUACUGCAGUUGGCAGUGCUAAAAUGCACCACCCACAGCCUCACUGUGCUCACAUCCACUAGUUGGUCUCCAGAAACAGUCAGCAACCAUUGAUGAAUGUCAAUGGGUGCAGUGUUUUCCACAUGGAGGAAUUCAGUGACACACCUUUGCUUCCUAUACAUUUCCACAUCUGGUGCCAUUGUGUCAGACUGCCCCUCUGCUGUCAUUCGUCACACCCAACAAAAUGUAACAGAGUAUUGGUGGUAAGGUUCAACCUCUACUGUCAUACCACCAGCAUCCAUCUCUGAUAUCACGGGCCAACAUCAUAAAAUAGGAGACAUUACUUUUGGAGCAGCCCUUGUAGCUAGCACAUGUCAUCAUUAAACAAGGUAAACUACUGUAGAAAGGUAUUCUUCAUGUGUGAUAGGAUUAGAAAGCUUGCUACAAAUGCAUAUGCUACAUUAAUGAAUAUUAUUUUCCAUGUGUUCCUUUAGAACAGAAAAAUAGAGAGAGUAAUGGGUGUGUUGAAAUUAGAAUCUGGAGGAGAAAUUUUGUCUAUGUUUGGUAUUGUUCAUUUCAAUGUCCCAGUAUUCAUUCUCUGCUUUGUCUGGUUGGGAUUCUGACUUUCAUUAACUAGACUUGAAUACACCAUGGAAUAUAAAGUCACAUAUGAAAAAAAAAAUGCUUUGUUUCUCUCUUUUUUUUUCAAGUUCUUUCCAUCCAAAAGGAUAGAGUACAAUAUUGCCACCUCAGUAGUAUCAUUCUAUAUGAAGUCUACAUUUAGUAUGUAUUAAGUAUGCCUAGCUGCAUUAUGAGGGCAGAUUUCA